rnacentral:rRNA from 1 species
UACGGAGGAUCCAAGCGUUAUCCGGAUUUAUUGGGUUUAAAGGGUGCGUAGGCGGCUUGUUAAGUCAGGGGUGAAAGGCGGUAGCUUAACUAUCGGAGUGCCCUUGAUACUGACGAGCUUGAAUGCAGCUGAGGUAGGCGGAAUGUGGCAAGUAGCGGUGAAAUGCAUAGAUAUGUCACAGAACACCGAUUGCGAAGGCAGCUUACUAAAGUGCGAUUGACGCUGAGGCACGAAAGCGUGGGGAUCAAACAGG